GGAAAAAAAAAGGAAAAAUGAGUAGGAAAGGAAGAGUGCCUCUUUACUUAAUGUGUUUCCAAAAGAAACAAAUACUCAUCUUUUUGUACUAUGCUACCUCGGUUUUGCUUUGCCAGGCAUCUCACUACUCUCCACUGCUGGAAAGAUCCUCGCCCGUGUUAUACUCAACAGACUCCUGUCAUCUGUUUCAGAGCAGAACCUGCCUGAAUCACAAUUUGGCUUCCGACCAGAUCGCAGCACCAUCGACAUGGUCUUCACGGUGAGGCAAAUGCAGGAAAAGUGCCUUGAGCAGAACCUAAGUCUCUAUAUUGUCUUCAUAGACCUGACAAAGGCUUUCGACACAGUGAACAGGGACGCAUUGUGGGUGAUCCUUAGCAAGCUUGGUUGCCCAACAAAAUUCAUCAAACUGAUCAAACUCUUUCAUGUCGACAUGACAGGGGAAGUCCUAUCUGGUAGAGAGACUUCCAGUCGCUUCAACAUCUCCAAUGGCAUGAAACAAGGCUGUGUCCUCACUCCAGUGCUAUUCAACCUAUUUUUCACCCAAAUAUUACGACAUGCUUUGAUGGAUCUAGACCUGGGCAUCUACAUCAAAUACCGACUGGAUGGCUCACUAUUCGACCUUUGCCACCUGACUGCAAAAACAAAGACAACAGAGAGACUCAUCCUGGAAGCUCUCUUCCCAGAUGACUGUGCUCUCAUGGCCCACCAAGAAAAUCAUCUCCAAACCAUUGUGGACAGGUUCUCCACCGCAACAAAACUCUUUGGCCUGACUAUCAGCCUCAGCAAAACAGAGGUACUGUUCCAACCUGCACCAGGGAGGCCAACUAACCAGCCAUGCAUUACAAUCGAUGGCACGCAGCUUUCUAACGUCAACACUUUCAAGUACCUGGGCAGCACCAUCACCAACGACGGGUCCCUAGACCACGAGAUUAAUGCCAGAAUCCAAAAGGCCAGCUAACCACUCAGGCGGCUGUGCUGCAAAGUCCUCCAACACAGAGGUGUAAGCACUGCGAUAAA
rnacentral:lncRNA from 1 species